rnacentral:rRNA from 1 species
CUGAUCCAGCAAUGCCGCGUGAGUGAUGAAGGUCUUCGGAUUGUAAAGCUCUUUCGACGGGGAAGAUAAUGACGGUACCCGUAGAAGAAGCCCCGGCUAACUUCGUGCCAGCAGCCGCGGUAAUACGAAGGGGGCUAGCGUUGUUCGGAUUUACUGGGCGUAAAGCGUGCGUAGGCGGCUUGUCAAGUCAGAAGUGAAAGCCCGGGGCUCAACUCCGGAACUGCUUUUGAGACUGGCAGGCUUGAGUUCGGGAGAGGGUAGUGGAAUUCCCAGUGUAGAGGUGAAAUUCGUAGAUAUUGGGAAGAACACCGGUGGCGAAGGCGGCUGCCUGGCCCGAAACUGACGCUGAGGCACGAAAGCGUGGGGAGCAAACAGGAUUAGAUACCCUGGUAGUCCACGCCGUAAACGAUGAGUGCUAGACGUUGGGGCAUUUAAUGUCGCAGUGUCGAAGCUAACGCGUUAAGCACUCCGCCUGGGGAGUACGGCCGCAAGGUUAAAACUCAAAGGAAUUGACGGGG